rnacentral:rRNA from 1 species
UGCCUUGGGGGCGGCUACACAUGCAGUCGAGCGGCAGCGGGGAGUAGCUUGCUACUUUGCCGGCGAGCGGCGGACGGGUGAGUAAUGCUUGGGAACUUGCCUUUAGGAGGGGGAUAACCACGGGAAACUGUGGCUAAUACCGCAUAAUGUCUACGGACCAAAGCGGGGGCUCUUCGGACCUCGCACCUAAAGAUAGGCCCAAGUGAGAUUAGCUAGUUGGUGGGGUAAAGGCCCACCAAGGCGACGAUCUCUAGCUGUUCUGAGAGGAUGAUCAGCCACACUGGGACUGAGACACGGCCCAGACUCCUACGGGAGGCAGCAGUGGGGAAUAUUGCACAAUGGGGGAAACCCUGAUGCAGCCAUGCCGCGUGUGUGAAGAAGGCCUUCGGGUUGUAAAGCACUUUCAGUGGUGAGGAAGGCUUGUAGGUUAAUAGCCUGCAAGAUUGACGUUAGCCACAGAAGAAGCACCGGCUAACUCCGUGCCAGCAGCCGCGGUAAU